GAUGAACGCUAGCUACAGGCUUAACACAUGCAAGUCGAGGGGCAGCACUAGGUAGCAAUACUGAGGUGGCGACCGGCGCACGGGCGCGUAACGCGUAUCCAACCUUCCCGUUACUCAGGGAUAGCCUUCCGAAAGGGAGAUUAAUACCUGAUGGUGUUUGAAUUCCGCAUGUUAUUCAAACUAAAGAUUUAUCGGUAACGGAUGGGGAUGCGUGACAUUAGGUAGAUGGCGGGGUAACGGCCCACCAUGCCUACGAUGUCUAGGGGUUCUGAGAGGAAGGUCCCCCCACACUGGAACUGAGACACGGUCCAGACUCCUACGGGAGGCAGCAGUGAGGAAUAUUGGUCAAUGGUCGGAAGACUGAACCAGCCAAGUAGCGUGAAGGAUGAAGGUUCUAUGGAUUGUAAACUUCUUUGUUUGGGAAUAAAAGACGCUACGUGUAGCGUUCUGCAUGUACCUUACGAAUAAGCAUCGGCUAAUUCCGUG
rnacentral:rRNA from 1 species